UUUUUUUUUAAUUAACACAAACAAGUGGAAUAUAUCAGUAAACAAAAGAGCAGAGCUGCCACCUCAGGUGAUACUGUAAAAACUUUUAGAGUAAAAAUUGAGGUAAUUGAAAAAUCAUCUUCCUUUCCCCUUUGGAGUCAAAACUAAUGUCUCUCAGAAACACACAAAGGAAAUAACCUUUAAACUCCACGUUUGUUUUUGCAGUGGUUUGACUGGAAAAUAAUUUCAUCUGCCUUUGUAAAGGAGGGUGGGGGGUGGUAUAAAACAAAGUAGAGACCAUUUCCCUCCCACCACAGCCGUACAUCUAUUAUCUGACUCACCACUUCUGGGACUCCUUCUGGCAGCUCUGGUUUUAUUGCACUGAAAAUUCAAGCCUGUGAAAAUAUUCCCUAUUUUCAGGUUUACUUUGUUCACUGCUUUGUUCAGGUCAGUAUCCCUUCCUUUAGGGGUCUGGAACCCGACAUUCAGCAAGGGCUAGAUGUUGCUGUUCUUAAGCCUUGUGAGAAGGACCAGCUCGCUGGAAGGAAGGGGGGAGGGAAAGGAAGGGGGAGGAGAGUCCAUAUCUGAAGAGAGAUUCCAGACUGGAGAAAUUUUACUGACAUCCAUUCAGUUUCCAGGGUCUCCUUCAAGGGCUUUUACUGAGCUCCAAAAGCCCCUGCAAUUCACAGCGGCAUUUACAUGCAACGUUCCCCUCUGGGAGCUAAGGUAAAACUGUACUCCUGGAUAAUAAUCACAAAGAAUACCACCAGACUCCUAUUCAAAUGUCAACCAGCCACUACCGUUGUAGAGAGUAACAAAGAGAUGCUAAUAUAAUUAAUUAUGAAGCCUCAGUACCCUCAUUAACACAUCUUUAGUGCCUAGAUCUUUGAAAAUCAGCUGUAUAAAGUGACUGUCAGAGUUAAUUCCUUAUAAAUUGCCUCCUGUCACAUGCCAGCACUGCAGCAAGUUCUCUCAGGCCUUGAUGCUAAGAAAUCUGGGGUUUUUUUUAAGUUCUGAUGCAGUUUUAUUGGUGUUAUUAAAGGUGUAAGCUGUUGCAUAAGCAGUUUGUCAGGCUAGAGUAGAGAAAAAUAAAAAUGCCUUUAGUCAGCCCAGCUUACACAGUUGGUGGCAUAAAUAGGAAAAGUUUCAGUCAAUUAAAUGGAAAACUAAGGACAAAAGAAAAAACAGGAAUGAAAGGUGUCACAUAACUUGGCAUUUAAAUGUUUCCGGACCUUUUUUUAAAUUUGAGGAUUGCAGCCAGUUUAUAGCUCUCCCUCCUACUGCUGCCUUUACAACAGCAUUCCAGCUCCAGGCCUCACUCCAGAGCAUCUUCCUGCCCCUCCACUCCCGCUCACAAAUAUAUAUUUCAAUAGGCUUAAGCUACAUGGAGUUCCAAAACCAGCAUGUAAUUGAUGCAAUUGUCUUUUACAUUUCUCCAGAGAGAGCCACAUUCAUGCUGCUUAAGCCCUGUUUUGUCAUGUUUUCCUUUCUUUUUUUUUCCAAGCUGGACUAGGAUCAGUACUUGUGUUGGGAGCCCUACAUAUAUACUGAAGAAUGAAGUCACAGAAACAGGCUGUAGGGGUGGUUCAUUCUGUUAUUUCUCAGUACCAGACUGUCACUCUGCUACAAGAUAAAGGGAGACGAUAAAAAGAAAGUGAUCAUUACAAAUCACUUGGCAUUUUCUGCGAGCAGUUAAAACACUUGUACUGACACAUCCAAUUUGUCUAUACAAGAUACUCUGCUUCCCUUCAUCUUCCAUGUGCUUUUGAGAAGGUGA
rnacentral:lncRNA from 1 species